rnacentral:antisense_RNA from 1 species
UUCAAUGGCAGCUCAGGUGAGGCAGCCUUCGGGCUGGCCGGAUCUGGUAGGCCGGUAUUUCCACCCUUGUCUGGGCUGCCACCAAU